AAGGGAGACCUAAUUCCGGUAGGAGACGAAAAAAAAGUAGUCCCUACCAAGAAUCAAUCCCAAAAGGUCGGAACGAGGUAUGAGGCUUUCAAACUAGGUUCUGGGUUCAUAAAAGACCUGAAUCAGGAACAAGGGCUAUUAGCUCAGGUGGUUAGAGCGCACCCCUGAUAAGGGUGAGGUCCCUGGUUCGAGUCCAGGAUGGCCCACCUGCACAGGUGGCAAAAAGAAAGAAAAGAAGCGAGGAAUCAGCACCUUAUCUUACUUAUAUAGUAAGAGAGAAUGCUGGCUCUGAGUUCAGAGUCCAGAGGAACCUUGAAAACUGCAUAGAGCUAGGUGAAAAAGCCAAAAAAGAAGACCGCAAGGUCAAGCUAAUAAGGGCUAACGGUGGAUACCUAGGCAC
rnacentral:tRNA from 1 species